UGUGUCAGCCCGCGCGGUAAUACGGAGGGUGCAAGCGUUAAUCGGAAUUACUGGGCGUAAAGCGCACGCAGGCGGUCAAUUAAGUCAGAUGUGAAAGCCCCGAGCUUAACUUGGGAAUUGCAUCUGAAACUGGUUGGCUAGAGUCUUGUAGAGGGGGGUAGAAUUCCACGUGUAGCGGUGAAAUGCGUAGAGAUGUGGAGGAAUACCGGUGGCGAAGGCGGCCCCCUGGACAAAGACUGACGCUCAGUGC
rnacentral:rRNA from 1 species